GUAGGGAAUCUUCCACAAUGGGCGCAAGCCUGAUGGAGCAACACCGCGUGAGUGAAGAAGGGUUUCGGCUCGUAAAGCUCUGUUGUUAAAGAAGAACACGUAUGAGAGUAACUGUUCAUACGUUGACGGUAUUUAACCAGAAAGUCACGGCUAACUACGUGCCAGCAGCCGCGGUAAUACGUAGGUGGCAAGCGUUAUCCGGAUUUAUUGGGCGUAAAGAGAGUGCAGGCGGUUUUCUAAGUCUGAUGUGAAAGCCUUCGGCUUAACCGGAGAAGUGCAUCGGAAACUGGAUAACUUGAGUGCAGAAGAGGGUAGUGGAACUCCAUGUGUAGCGGUGGAAUGCGUAGAUAUAUGGAAGAACACCAGUGGCGAAGGCGGCUACCUGGUCUGCAACUGACGCUGAGACUCGAAAGCAUGGGUAGCGAACAGGAUUAGAAACCCUGGUAGUCC
rnacentral:rRNA from 1 species